AAGCCCGUAAUCUCCCAAGCCCA
rnacentral:siRNA from 1 species